AUUCGUAAAUAUGUAAAAACCAAAAAGAUUCAUAAGCUGCAUUCAACUAAUUUGGCUAAAAUUUGUCCCUCGUGUAUUUUACUCGUCUGAUAAAACUAAUAAAAGGUCUUAACUACGCAACCAAAACCUAUAAACAGCUACAAUCAACGCACCAGACAACAUGACACCACUUUCAACAGCGACUAAUUCAUCAUCACGCAGCAACAGCAUCCCCGUGGAGCAGCGCCUGGUCGAAGUGCCAAACCCCUGGAACACACGGAAUAGCAUACGGUUUUAAGAAACGGGAAAUGAAAGCAUUGUCAAAAGACAAACAGUAAACGUAGGAUAACGAUGACAACGAAAUUGAAUUAUGGGUUCCUACCAUGUCCUUUGCCAACUCUCCUUAGUUGAGCAACAUAUUCAGAUAUUUUCUUGAUUGCUUCCACCUACAAAGGUAAAAACACAGCAUCAAAAAUCAUGCCGCAAGUGUCCCUGUAGAACCUUUCCAACUCAGGACAAAUAAAAGAGGAUAUCAAGACUAACCUGCUCGGCCAAAAACUCGGUUUCAACAAAAUCUGUUAACUGCGGAUCUUUGUUCUUCACAGCAACCUGUUAGUCGUAAAUUCGAGGAUGAACACAGCAUAAUAAGAUUGUGAAUUCAUAACACGAACCAAACGAUGUUACUGGUCCAAAUACAAUCACCUGAACCUAAUCAUCUUACACUAAGAAGACAGCAUUCAAUAAGAACGGAUGUCUUACACUGUGCAAGUGGAGCAGUUUUUCAUUUGUCAGUUUCUCGAGCGACAAUGCAAGCUCCAUUGCUGAAUCGAAAACAUAGGACCGAGUUAGAGCUCAAUAAUUAACAGUUAAAUCAUAGUAUAUCAGUCCUAUAAACUAGUCCAAAGACAGAAAAAUCAUCGGCAACAACCAGGUGUUUGGUCCUUGCCUUUCUCGUUUCUCAUUUAAAUAAGCCAGCACACAUUAAAUUGGAAAUAUCACAUCAAUUUUCUUCAAAACUCAAUUACAAUGUUCUACAACACAACUAAAUAAGAAAUAUUCAUGUAAAUCCCAAAAUUUAGUUGUUGAAGUUCUCAUCACAAAUACACAAGCGAGGGCCGAUAAAACUAACCAUAUAAAGCAUCUCCUUUCUCUGGAUGAUCGAACUCCGACACAGGCAUCAGAAUCGACUGCAACUUCACUCUUCCACCACGCUUAUUCUGGGAAAUGCCGACAAUAAACAAAAAGAAAAGUGAUAACGAACUCGGUUUUACAAACAGUAAACUGAACUUAAGGCCCAUCAGAGUAAUAAAAACACAAAACAUAAUAUACUAGACAAGGACUAAGACAAACACCUGGUAUUCCAUUAAUUUCUCGGCAUGAUCCCUUUCUUCCUCACUCGAUUCCUUGAAAAACCUGCGAUAAAACGAAACCAUAAAGAACGAAAUCACUGUAUUAAAAUGCUCAAAUUAUCAUAAAGUGUUUCCAGGACAUUACUUGGCAAGACCCUUGAGCGCAACAUUGUCCCUGUCGAAAUAGGCGUACAUAGCAUGGUAAAUGUACGAGACAUUGUACUCCACACUGAUAUUCCACCAAAGAAACAAAUCAACCGUUAGCGUGCAUCAGAGCGUAAAAAUACAACCGAAUUUCGACAAAGAUUAGUCGGACUCACAGUUGCAAUACUUUUAGAUACGAAAUUCGAAACCAAACAUUCAUACACAAAUCCAAGAACAAAGAUUUACUAAUCCAACCGUAUACAAAUCCUAGCAGGUAUACGGAUAGAACAAUUCGCAUUAAACAAUUAAAGGCACAAUCGAAUAUUUCUUCAAGAUUUAAACUUUAACACACAAAAUUAAUUGCAGUAAUCAAAUACUAUAGAAACAACAAUUCUUUCAUAGAUAUAUAACACGUGAAGGGAAAAGAAAGAAAACCCACUUGAUCUGCUCGUUAAUGGCGGCCUCGCUUUCGUCAGUGAACUUCUGGCGGGCGAGAGACACUUGUGGGAGACUAGGGACGAGGUCGAGCUCCUUCUUCACCUCCUCAAACGGCUCGAAAACCACACCGGUAAGCGGCCGAUUAUUCGCGUUCUUCGAAGCGCAGACGACGACCCCACUUUCAUUCCUCGCCGGAGAGAACCGGAGAAUCGAUGACAUAGGCGUGGGGGAGGUCCGAGGCGAGAACGAGUACGAAACCGACGGCGGCGAUGACGGCGGAGCAGAGGAAUACAAAGGAUCAAAACUGUCCCCGCGAGCGAGCGAGGGAGAGGAGGCCGGAGAAGCAUUGAGAAGCAUGAUUCUGGAGAGAGAAACAGAGGAAAAUAAGGGUUUUGAGUGAGUGUGGAAGUGGAGAAAGGGACUGGGAUAUAUGGGUGGCCUAGGGCUGUGUGGACCAUUGGAUCAAAACCACGUGGACGACUGGGAUUUAUUUGUUGGGAGGGCGCGUGGCGGGGUUGUGGCAUAGCUGGAUGUGCUGUGGGAUCCACGGAAAUAUCUGGAACUGUGGGGAGUGUGUUGAACUUUUCUGGAUAAUUCUAUUCGUGAAUCGUAUCUGUUCAUUGUAUAUCGUGCGAUCCGUUUUUGUCAAGAUAUUUUGUUAUAGAACUGAUAUUGCUUCUUGAUUUGCAGAUGUUAUUUCAAUCCCCAAAACGAAUGAGAAUUUCCGUCUCCUUUAUGACACAAAGGGUCGGUUCCUUCUCCACUCAAUCCGGGACGAAGAGGCAAAGGUUAUUUUUACCUUUCAGUGCAUGCCUUGAACCCUCGUCCAAAAAAAUUUACAUGACUUGAAUAACUACUGCAUUUGGAUCGUGUUUCAUUGUUCGAUAUGGAUCCUUUCGAUCCGCAAAAUUCCACAACUCGAAUAACACAAAGGGUCGGUUCGCCCUCCGUUCAAAUUGCAUUUCUUCCGAUUAACUGAUGGACAUUUUCUCUAUUCUGAUUUCUUGAGAACGGGUUUUUCGCUGGAACCGGAUCCCCUCCUAAGCAUAGGGUGGGAUCCUCUGAUCAGCCCAUCUGGGCCCUUCAAAUUUGAUCCAACAGUUACAAACAUGAGGCUCCUCUAAAAGUUAUAAUUAUUAUAACCGUUUAAUCAAAUUUCAAGGGCCCAUAUAGGCUGGUCAGAAGGAUCCCACCCUAUGCUCAGGGGAUCCGGUUCCUUUUCGCUGCAGUUAAAACUUUGCAAAGUCCGGUCUGUGCAAUGACCUACGACGGCCGAACCAUAUGAUAAAAGUAUUAAAGUUUAUGCAUGUACCGUAAUCAGUUCAGUUGAAAGAUUGCCAACCCCUUAACACGGCAGUCCUCUUUGUUGGCAUAUAAAAAAGGGGUAUGAGAAUCAUUUGCCCUUUUCCAGUGGAGUUCCACCCAAAAGUCUCCACAAAGGGUCACCAAAAAAUCCGGUAGACCAGACUUUUUUCCUCCCCUUUUUUCUAAGAUAUGUCAACUUCUAUUCAUUAGUCAUAAAUAUGUGAAAACCAAACAGAUUCAUAAGCUGCAUUCAACUAAUUUGGCUAAAAUUUGUCCCUCGUGUAUUUUACUCGUCCGAUAAACUAAUAAAAGGUUCUAACCACGCAACCAAAACCUAUAAACAGCUACAAUCAACGCACCAGACAACAUAACACCACUUUCAACAGCGACAAACUCAUCAUCACGCAGCAACAGCAUCCCCGUGGAGCAGCGCCUGGUCGAAGUGCCACACCCCUGGAACACACGGAAUAGCAUACAGUUUUAAGAAACGGGAAAUGAAAUCAGAUAAUGUUAUUGUCAAAGGACGAACAGUAAACGUAGGAUAACGAUGACAACGAAAUUGAAUUAUGGGUUCCUACCAUGUCCCUUGCCAACUCUCCUUAUUUGAGCAACAUAUUCAGAUAUUUUCUUGAUUGCUU
rnacentral:lncRNA from 1 species